AGAACCCUUUCGGGCGAAGAUAAGAUGGAUUAGCGGCGGACGGGUGAGUAACACGUGAGUAACCUGCCUUAGACAUUGGGAUAGCCUCGGGAAACCGGGAUUAAUACCAAAUGAAAUCACAUAUGCACAUGCAUAAAUGAUCAAAGCUCCGGCGGUCUAAGAUGGACUCGCGUCCCAUUAGCUAGUUGGUGAGGUAACGGCCCACCAAGGCGACGAUGGGUAGCCGGCCUGAGAGGGUGAACGGCCACAUUGGAACUGAGAAACGGUCCAAACUCCUACGGGAGGCAGCAGUGGGGAAUAUUGCACAAUGGAGGGAACUCUGAUGCAGCGACGCCGCGUGAACGAAGAAGGCUUUCGAGUCGUAAAGUUCUUUUAUGUGGGAAGAUAAUGACGGUACCAUAAGAAAAAGCCCCGGCUAACUACGUGCCAGCAGCCGCGGUAAUACGUAGGGGGCUAGCGUUGUCCGGAAUCACUGGGCGUAAAGGGUUCGCAGGCGGAAAUGCAAGUCAGGUGUAAAAGGCAGUAGCUUAACUACUGUAAGCAUUUGAAACUGCAUAUCUUGAGAAGAGUAGAGGUAAGUGGAAUUUUUAGUGUAGCGGUGAAAUGCGUAGAUAUUAAAAAGAAUACCGGUGGCGAAGGCGACUUACUGGGCUCAUUCUGACGCUGAGGAACGAAAGCGUGGGUAGCAAACAGGAUUAGAUACCCUGGUAGUCCACGCUGUAAACGAUGAGUACUAGGUAUCGGAAUAAUUCGGUGCCGCAGUUAACACAUUAAGCACUCCGCCUGGGGAGUACGUGCGCAAGCAUG
rnacentral:rRNA from 1 species